rnacentral:rRNA from 1 species
AUGAGGUUCGUCCACGACGACUGCCAGCUCCAAUGGAUCGCCCGCCGCCGCAAACUCCCCCGCUGCGAGGUGUGCAGACGCCGCAUCUCCACCCGGCCUCUCUACGCCGCGGACGCCCCCGAGAGGCUGCCCGUUUCAGAGCUCAUGGCGGGUCUGCCCAGCAAGCUCAUCGGGCUCCUGCUCCCCCUCUUCUUCGCCGUCUGCGUCGUCCGGGAGUUUGUCGUUCCGCUCACCACCCGCUGGACGUGGCGCCUCGCGCUCGCCACCAACUUUGCUCAAGCGCGCCACCUGCUCUCCCUGCGCCUAUCCAUGGCCUCAUGGACCUGCAUCCCUGCUUCAGCUGCAUUCUGCUUGCAGUUUGCACGCUUGGUUGUGCCAUUUGCUGUAGCUCCAUUUGCGCGCUGGGUCGCACGCCUGCUAGCUCAGAUGCAAAGCCAGGCCCAGGAGCUUGGGUUAUUUGAGAGAUUGCAAUUCCUUGCGAUGUCUGUUGUCGAAGUUUCCUUGGUGGUGGUAAUAGUUGACGUGGCCCUUGCUUGUAUUCUUUGUUUUCUCCCAUUCUGUCUUGAUGUUCCCAUUCUGCCUUAG